rnacentral:rRNA from 1 species
UACGGGGGGGAGCAAGCGUUGCUCGGAAUUACUGGGCGUAAAGCGCGUGUAGGCUGACCUUCAAGUCGGACGUGAAAUCCCUGAGCUCAACUCAGGAACUGCAUCCGAAACUGAAGGCCUAGAGUAGUGGAGAGGGAAGCAGAAUUCCUGGUGUAGAGGUGAAAUUCGUAGAUAUCAGGAGGAACACCGGUGGCGAAGGCGGCUUCCUGGCCAUUCACUGACGCU